rnacentral:misc_RNA from 1 species
GAUGAAGAACGUAGCGAAAUGCGAUAAGUAAUGUGAAUUGCAGAAUUCAGUGAAUCAUCGAAUCUUUGAACGCACCUUGCGCCCUUUGGCUAUUCCGAAGGGCAUGCCUGUUUGAGUAUCAUGAACACCUCAACUCUCAUGGCUUGCCAUGAUGAGCUUGGACUUCUGGGGGUCUUGCUGGCCUGUGGUCAGCUCCUCUCAAAUGAAUUAGCCUGCCAGUGUUUGGUGGCAUCACAGGUGUGAUAACUAUCUACGCUUGUGGUUUUCCACCAGGUAACCUUCAGUGAUGAAGGUUCGCUGGGGCUCAUAAACGUCUCUCCUCAGUGAGGACAGCUCUUUGAACGUUUGAUCUCAAAUCAGGUAGGACUACCCGCUGAACUUAAGCAUAUCAAUAAGCGGAGGA